GGUGUCGUGGCGGAGUGGUUAACGCGACAGAUUCGAAUUUCGCGCUAUCUGUUCCUCUCUGAGGGCACAGGUUCGAGUCCUGUCGACACCG